UAGGAAUUUUGGGCAAUGGGCGAAAGCCUGACCCAGCAACGCCGCGUGGAGGAUGACGGCUCUCGGGUUGUAAACUCCUUUUGUGGGGGAUGACAUCGACAGUACCCCACCAACAAGCCCCGGCUAACUACGUGCCAGCAGCCGCGGUAAUACGUAGGGGGCCAGCGUUGUCCGGACUUACUGGGCGUAAAGCGCGCGCAGGUGGAUGAGUAUGUGCCGUGUGAAAGCACCGUCCUUACGAUGGUGAGGUCAUGGUAGACAGCUCGUCUUGAGGCUCGAAGAGGUUGAUGGAAUUCCGGGUGGAGCGGUGAAAUGCGUAGAUAUCCGGAGGAACACCAGGGGCGAAAGCGGUCAACUGGUCGAGUUCUGACACUGAGGCGCGACGGCGUGGGGAGCAA
rnacentral:rRNA from 1 species